UCCUCGGAAAUUGAUUGGAUGGCUCCAUU
rnacentral:piRNA from 1 species